UGGGAAGCAACCCUAGAUGGAAUAAACCUGCAUAUAAAGAAAUCAAAGUCAUUUCAAAUAAGACAUUCUUUAAACAUAAAAAUGGUUAAAAAAGGGAUUAAAGUCUUACCAUUUGCCAUAUGGCUCAAUCCAUGGUCGAUCAUGGAGGGGUAGAUCAACACCUUCACCAUCACCAGCUGAACCUGCAUUUGCAGAUGGUGUGGCAGUCUCAGAAGGUGGUCUAGAAGAUGAGGAAGGUAUAGAAGUAGGGUUGGAGGGAGGAGUGGGGGUAAUAAUCACAGGGGGAGGAAGAGAGUCUGUUGUAGGGGUAGGAGGAGGGUGUACUGCAGAGGUAGGAGGAGGGUGUAUUGUAGCGGUAGGAGGCGGGUAACUGAAAGAGUACGGGGAGGGUGUACUGUAGGGGUAGGAAGAGGCCCCACAGAUGAUGGGCUGGGGGCAGCAGUGGUAGGUAGUGGAUGAUGUACUGCAGGGGUAGGAAGAGGCCCCACAGAUGAUGGACUGGGGGCAGCAGUGGUAGGUAGUGUAGCAGGCACCUUAAGUACAUACUUUGGGGCCAAUCAUUGCCUCUUUUUAGGCCUUGCUACCCCCUUUCCUUUAUCAGGACGGUCUGAACCUUCUGCUGUCAUUGCUGCAUUAAAAUGGUUACAAAUAAAGUGAAACAAUACAAAAGAAUAAGGAAGGAUCACUACAAAUUAAAGUGAAUGUAAAAUAAUUGCAUACAACUUUUUAGAUGGUAUUUUACAUAACUCUAUUGAAAUAAUAGUUCAAUUUUCUACAAUUAAUAGAUGUCCAACAUUCAAUCAUCGUUGUCAUGAUCUUCAUCUUCUUCUUCAUCAUCAUCAUCAUGAUCAUCUUCUUCGUCACGAUCAUCAGGAUCAUCUUCUUCGUCACGAUCAUCUUCUUCGUCACGAUCUUCUUCUUCGUCACGAUCAUCUUCUUCGUCACGAUCUUCUUCUUCGUCACGAUCUUCUUCUUCUUCUUCUUCUUCUUCUUCUUCUUCUUCUUCUUCUUCUUCUUCUUCUUCUUCUUCUUCUUCUUCUUCUUCUUCUUCUUCUUCU
rnacentral:lncRNA from 1 species